UCUACAGUGUUGCACUUCAGGCUCUUCUUGAGUAUUGAGACAAGGUGAACUUAUCAGUAUUUAACUCCAGUAAGGCUAGUAACUCUACUUAUGGUUAGUGAGAGCAGAUCUCUGUGUGCAGUCAGUGUUACUAAAGUCACUGAUGACAGGACUUUGGAAUGCUGCGCACAGUCAAAGCGUCUUAAUGUUGAUUGCUAAAAAAUAGUUUGAGCAUGCAGCAGCCCAGCCUGUCUCCUCCGCCUUGCCUAGAGACACUGCAGCUCCGACAGCCAAGAGGUCUGUGUGUUUCCUGGGGAAACUACAGCUCAUAACCUGCUUUAUCAGCACUGCUAGCUAUAUCUCGUCAUCGUGGCCCAUGGACCUUCUACUGACCGGGGGCAACAUGUUUCGUCUCUGAGGCAACAACAACAGAAGCUCACAACCACCAACAUGUCCUGACUUGGCCAGACUUCGAGGAAAGAUGAUGAUGUUGAAGGAGGAGACCAACAGGACGGGAAGCCACAGCCAUUCAGUCUUCAUUCAUUACUGCAGCCCAGCCAGACACUAUUUGUGUUUACAGACCCAGACACCCCAAGGCAAUCCGAGCGCUCAGACCAGAGCAAUGGCGCAUGAACGCCCCAGCACAGAGAGCUGCUGUGAUCCAAACAGGGAGGAGGGUCUACAGAGGACGGAGAGGACAGAGAGGACAAUCAACAUCGUUUUUUUUUGGGAUGGGGGGGGAUGUAAUUCAUUCCCUCUGACAGCAGGAGCUGUGUCAUGCUGCAUACAGCAAUACAUUUUCAGAUUGCAACCACUUUCCCCAGUGGUGCUACACUGGAAUACAAACCAUCUCGUCAC